CCUACGGGGUGCAGCAGUGGGGAAUAUUGGACAAUGGGCGAAAGCCUGAUCCAGCCAUGCCGCGUGUGUGAAGAAGGCCUUCGGGUUGUAAAGCACUUUCAGUGGGGAAGAAAGCCUUGGGGCUAAUACCCUCGAGGAAGGACAUCACCCACAGAAGAAGCACCGGCUAACUCCGUGCCAGCAGCCGCGGUAAUACGGAGGGUGCGAGCGUUAAUCGGAAUUACUGGGCGUAAAGCGCGCGUAGGCGGUCUGAUAAGCCGGUUGUGAAAGUCCCGGGCUCAACCUGGGAACGGCAUCCGGAACUGUCAGGCUAGAGUGCAGGAGAGGAAGGUAGAAGUCCCGGUGUAGCGGUGAAAUGCGUAGAGAUCGGGAGGAAUACCAGUGGCGAAGGCGGCCUUCUGGACUGACACUGACGCUGAGGUGCGAAAGCGUGGGUAGCAAACAGGAUUAGAUACCCUAGUAGUC
rnacentral:rRNA from 1 species